AUGGAUUAUGUAGUUAGAGAUAUUGUGGUGGGUACUACUUUUGAGCUAGAUGAGGAUGAUGAUAACCAGGGCACCGUUGUUUCUUUUGUUCCUCAUGAUGGUGCUAUCAAUAUGCGCCAAACUAGCUUUGGGCCUCAAGUAUGGCUGCUUUAUAUUGGAUUUCCUCAUGAUUAUCAAACCUCUCAUUACAUUUAUAAGUCUGUGGACAAAUUUGGGGAACUUAUCACCUGGAAUAAUCCUAGAUGGGACGAGAAGUUUGUUCUGAUCAAGGCCAGAGUUCUUAGUUUGCGUCGGGUGCCCAAAAGCUUCGUUAUGCAUCAGUUGGGUGGUGAGCGUCGUUGCUGGACGGUGUGUGUCACGAUCCUGCGCAGCAGCGAUUGGAAUGCUCAUAUCGCGGAUGUGCCGCCGGCGGACAUUGAUCCACCUCCUGCUGAUGGGAUCCCCCACCCCCUGUUCAGUGAUGGUCUCAUCGCGGAGCAGAUGUACCAAGCACAGCUGCAUAAUUCGCUUGCUCAGAAUGCCACGCCAAACCCUCCUGAUGCUGAUCUGCAUCACAAUGCUCCUCAAGGCCAUGAUGUUCACUUCCAAGCUGGUUGGGGUGCAUGGCAACCUUCGCCCCCACUUGCUUUGUAUAACUUUCAGGCAUGGCUGGCAGCAGAAGGCCUACAGGUUCAGGAUGGGAUACUACCUGCAAACAAUCUUUAG
rnacentral:rRNA from 1 species